GGGGAUUUAGCACAGUGGUAGCGCGCAACAUUUGCAAUCAGCAAUCUUUGUUGAGGUCGUGGGUUCGAUCCCCACAAUCUCCA